UUGAAACAUCACUUUUAUAUGUUUUCUAUCGUACAAGUAUUUUGCUUAUAUUAUGUUUUAUGUUGUUUUGUGAGGCUAUUAAGUUCUGAGUCGGAUUGGGCUGAGUUGCUGGGCUUUAUGAGUUGCUGGGCUUUAUCAAGAUGAGAGAAGUGGGCUUUACAAGGUUAAUGGGCUGGACUAGAAAGCUUGGCUGCUGUUGAAGAUAUUUGAAGACCGGGUUGUUAUAACAACCCGGGUAACCCGCAUGUGCUCUAAUAUAAAAACCCAGCUGGUCCGUUUCAAUUGAUAUAUAGCUGGGAUAUUUUCUUUGUUCUCGCUCUUGCGGCGAAUUAGGGUUUCAAACUGUGAAUCAUUCGGAUUCACAAUUGUAGUGAUUCUUGAUGUUCGUUUUGAUAGGAGCAUCUUGUAGAUGAUCUCAGACUUUUCUUCUCUCUUCUGUGUCAUUAGCUUCUCCUGUACGCACAUCUGUUUCUAGGGUUUUUAUGUGUAAAUCUCUUAGAUUCAAGAGUUUUGUAAGUGUAGAUCAUCAUGUUGGUGAUCUAUUUUGAGAGCUUGAUUGUAUUUGAGAGAUUAGUAGUAUAUUGAGUUGUAAUCUUGAAGUUCUGUAACAUAAAUCAAUAUAUACCAUUGUUUUUGACAUGGUAUCAGAGCCUAGGCUCUUUAUUCUUCAUCUUCCGCUGGUCUAGUUUUUUGUGUUGAUUCAAGUCCAUACGUCUGAUUGUAGUCAGAAUCUUAGUUCUGGACCCAUGGUUAAUGCUGUUCUUUGAAGGUUUGGAUUCGAAACCCUAACCUAGGGUUUGUCGGUUCAAAAACAGGUGUUCAACAACACACAGAUCUAACACAAACAAAACACAUCUUUCCUUUUCACUUUCUCCGAUCGCAACAAUGUCUUCAGGCUCAGGAUUUAGCGGUGAUGAAACCACCCCCUUCUUCGGUUUCCUCGGCACUGAUGCCACCCUCGUCUUCUCCUUUAUGGGGGCUGCAUAUGGGACUGCUAAAAGUGGUGUAGGUGUGGCGUCGAUGGGGGUGAUGAGGCCGGAGCUGGUGAUGAAGGCGAUUGUUCCAGUUGUUAUGGCUAGUGUGCUUGGUAUUUAUGGUUUGAUUAUUGAUGUUAUUAUUAGCACUGGGAUUAACCCUAAGGCGAAAUCGUAUUAUCUGUUUGAUGGCUAUGCGCAUCUUUUGUCUGGUUUGGCUUGUGGUCUUACUGGUUUGUCUGCUGGAAUGGCGAUCGGGAUUGUUGGUGAUGUUGGUGUUAGGAUUGAAACGUACAAGAUCUGGGGACAAGUGCUUGAUUCAGAUCUGAUGGUCGGGUAUUAUAUUUGUCGACAUGUGAAUGGUUUUUUGAAUGGAAAAGUGUGAAGCCUAAGAUUUGGUAUGUUGAAGUCUGUUCUUGCUCUAUUUCUUGAUGGAAUUGAAGAAUCUACAGACGAGAUUUAGGGUUGCGAUCAAAACCCUAGCUAUGCUUCUUGACGAGUUUUUUCCUGGUAUUCAUAUAUUCUGAUUAUUAUCAUCUAAAUUUCAUUUUAAGUCUUCUAAACUCGAUUCUGCAUGCUGGAGUCUUAUUUUGCUCGAGUUAUGGGUUCUUGUGAAUCUUGGUGUAUUGUUGAAGAUCUUGAAUAAAUUUCCACUGCUGGGAAGUUUUAGUUGUCUAUCGCCUGUAAGGAGUUUUACCAGAUGAAAAUUCGCUCAUGGUAUUUUUUAUAUAGACUCUAGGUGACAGUUUACUUUCUUCCUUGGUCUUGGUAAAAAGAAAAUGCACUGUAAGUUUUCUUAACCUCUUUGGCUAAUGGAGUAAACAUGGUUGUUGGGUUUUGGUUAUAAAAGUGAGGGGAGGUGUUGAAACAUCACUUUUAUAUGUUUUCUAUCGUACACGUAUUUUGCUUAUAUUAUGUUUUAUGUUGUUUUGUGAGGCUAUUAAGUUCUGAGUCGGAUUGGGCUGAGUUGCUGGGCUUUAUGAGUUGCUGGGCUUUAUCAAGAUGAGAGAAGUGGGCUUUACAAGGUUAAUGGGCUGGACUAGAAAGCUUGGCUGCUGUUGAAGAUAUUUGAAGACCGGGUUGUUAUAACAACCCGGGUAACCCGCAUGUGCUCUAAUAUAAAAACCCAGCUGGUCCGUUUCAAUUGAUAUAUAGCUGGGAUAUUUUCUUUGUUCUCGCUCUUGCGGCGAAUUAGGGUUUCAAACUGUGAAUCAUUCGGAUUCACAAUUGUAGUGAUUCUUGAUGUUCGUUUUGAUAGGAGCAUCUUGUAGAUGAUCUCAGACUUUUCUUCUCUCUUCUGUGUCAUUAGCUUCUCCUGUACGCACAUCUGUUUCUAGGGUUUUUAUGUGUAAAUCUCUUAGAUUCAAGAGUUUUGUAAGUGUAGAUCAUCAUGUUGGUGAUCUAUUUUGAGAGCUUGAUUGUAUUUGAGAGAUUAGUAGUAUAUUGAGUUGUAAUCUUGAAGUUCUGUAACAUAAAUCAAUAUAUACCAUUGUUUUUGACAUGAA